ensembl:lncRNA
AUGCUUCUGAGGUAUCCACACAUCUUCUCCUUUCAGAAUCUACUUGCACCUCUGAGAGAUCGGCUUAAUCGUGUGUGUGUGUGUGGGUUGAGGGGGAGGGGAUAUAAAGAGCAAAGCAGAACAAAGAAUAAAAAGAAAUAUUGGAACCAAAGCUUGAUCCAGGAGUUUUUAAAAAAUAUUAUCCCCGUGAAAAAGAGGGAAUAAAGGAUAAUAUAAAACUUAAAGAAAAUGACAUUUUUCAAUCUGGUUUCAAAUGAGGGCAGUUUCUAUGUGUCAAAUAAUCAUCCAGUCAAUAAAUAGUGCCUUGCCUAGAGUUCAGAGCCCAGAGUCUGGGACGACCUAGGGUAUUACAACUGAAAAGGAGGUAGGAAUGGAAAGAGAACUCAAUAGGAGAGGGCUGUGAGACUCCAAGAAGUCAGUUUACAGAGAUGUAAGCAAGCAGGCUUUCUUCUCUGAUGACAAUUUUGAAUGUUAGGUUUAUCUUCCGACUGAAAAGGAAAAGCAAUUGAAAUUCACAAGCAUUUCUUUACUUACUUUGAAUAUGAUACCAUUCAGAGAGUAAUCACGAACCCUCCCACUCAGACAUAAUCACCGUUCUCUGAGUUUAGCUCCUAAAAUGUUAAUUAAAACAAUAUGUUAAACUUAGGGUCUAAAAAAUGAGCAAGGGACAGAGGAAUGCAAGGCUUGCUAGAUGAAUAUAGGUCACUGGGGAGCCAAUGAGGAAGAAGAUUUCUACACAGCUGUCCCUUGUGCUGUCAGUCAGCCUUCUAGAGCAAUGCUGUAGCUUUACUGGGAAAGGGCCAGAUUCAAGAUCAUAUACACUUUAGGAGAUAGGCCAGGGAGUUGGUCUAAAGUUCUCCAUACUAUGAGAUCUACCUUUCCUUUUGGAUGGCAUGCAAGAGGGCAUUUGGGGAAUGCACAAGAGUAAAGAAGUAUUUAUAGUUAAAGCUCUUGUUGAAGGCGAGAAAAACAAAACAAAGUCCAAAACCAACUCUAACAGAUCUAAAACAAGAGUAGAAACAUUUGCUCACAUAAUAGAACAGUCAAGGAUAGGAUUGUUGUAGCUCUCUCCAGGGUCUCAAAUGAUCUUAUCAGGACUUAGUUACUCUUCUCUCUUGACCCUAACUAGACACUUGCCCAGAAGUUCCAGGUUAACACUGAAAUUUCAGGUUCAAGUUCAAUGGAAAAGAGAGCAUCACAUCCCAGUGGUUCAAAACUAAGCUCCAAAAUUAACUCUAAUUGCACCAAAACAAACUGCAUGCCAACACUUGAUUCAAUCCUGUGACUAAGGGAAUAUUAGCACUUUGACUGGCUGGGACUAGGUCAGGCCGAAUAAUUCAACAUUGGAGAUUUUCUGCACUUUUUUUUUAAAUCCCACCAGUUCUUUUUCUCUUUAUACUUUAGUUUGAGUCCUUUGCAUUGAUCUAUCUUUCAGUUAAUGGAAAUUGUGUCCUAUCGACUGUUUAAAUCAAUCUGUUGCAUUCUUACUUUCAUAUAUUACAUUUUAAAAUUUUAGAAUAUCCAUUUGAUUCUUUUGUUAUAGAUUCACCCCAGACAUGUACAAGCAUGUUUAAAGAAGCAUUCUUCAAAAUAGAUAAAACUAGAACCUCAAUACUUUUUAAAAAUUAUGUUAAUAAUCUUAAUUAUUCUUAUAUAUAUAAAAUAAUAUAUAGAGACCCUUG